rnacentral:rRNA from 1 species
AUUGAACGCUGGCGGCAUGCCUUACACAUGCAAGUCGAACGGCAGCACGGGAGCAAUCCCGGUGGCGAGUGGCGAACGGGUGAGUAAAGUAUCGGAACGUGCCCAGUCGUGGGGGAUAACGUAGCGAAAGCUACGCUAAUACCGCAUACGAUCUAUGGAUGAAAGCGGGGGAUCGCAAGACCUCGCGCGAUUGGAGCGGCCGAUAUCAGAUUAGGUAGUUGGUGAGGUAAAGGCUCACCAAGCCGACGAUCGGUAGCUGGUCUGAGAGGACGACCAGCCACACUGGGACUGAGACACGGCCCAGACUCCUACGGGAGGCAGCAGUGGGGAAUUUUGGACAAUGGGCGCAAGCCUGAUCCAGCAAUGCCGCGUGCAGGAUGAAGGCCUUCGGGUUGUAAACUGCUUUUGUACGGAGCGAAAAGGCUUCCACUAAUACUGGGGGCUCAUGACGGUACCGUAAGAAUAAGCACCGGCUAACUUCGUGCCAGCAGCCGCCGUAAUAC